AUUUGAGUUCUAUUUGAAAUAUAAGAAAUAUAAAGUUAUGUUAGCUUUGCAAAUAAUUUAUAUUUGAUCAAUACAUGAAAUUUUAUACAUUGUAAGUAGAAAUACAGCAAAUAUUGUUUUUAAACAAUAUCAAAUAUAAUUUUAAUUUCACAUAUUAAUAGAUUUCCAAGUUCAAUCUCAAAAAUACAUCUUAAAAUGUAAUGCCUCCAAUGAAAUAAAGAUGUCAUAUUCAACUUUUGCUUGCCCUUCUAGCAGAUAAUAACCGUGAGUCAUUUCUUGGAACUAGGUUUUCAGGUAACAGGUAGGGACAGGCUGUGCCACUGGUACACUUCACAAUCUUAGAAACAUGUUAUAAUCA
rnacentral:lncRNA from 1 species